rnacentral:rRNA from 1 species
GGUGACGUUAAGCAAAUCCCNGAAAUAACGUCCCAGUUCGGAUUGUAGUCUGCAACCCGACUACAUGAAGCUGGAAUCGCUAGUAAUCGCGAAUCAGAAUGUCGCGGUGAAUACGUUCCCGGGUCUUGUACACACCGCCCGUCACACCAUGGGAGUCGGAAAUGCCCGAAGUCAGUGACCCAACCGUAAGGAGGGAGCCGCCGAAGGUGGAGCCGGUAACUGGGGUGAAGUCGUAACAAGGUAUC